UACGUAGGGGGCAAGCGUUGUCCGGAAUCAUUGGGCGUAAAGCGCGUGUAGGCGGUCCGGUAAGUCCGCUGUGAAAGUCGGGGGCUCAACCCUCGGAUGCCCGGUGGAUACUGUCGGGCUUGAGUACGGAAGAGGCGAGUGGAAUUCCUGGUGUAGCGGUGAAAUGCGCAGAUAUCAGGAGGAACACCAAUUGCGAAGGCAGCUCGCUGGGACGUUACUGAGCUGAGACGCGAAAGCGUGGGGAGCAAACAGGG
rnacentral:rRNA from 1 species